rnacentral:piRNA from 1 species
UGUGCCAAGAGAGAGACAACCAUGUGCCAC